rnacentral:rRNA from 1 species
CACGUAGGGACCGAGCGUUGUCCGGAUUUAUUGGGCGUAAAGAGCUCGUAGGCGGUUCGGUAAGUCGGGUGUGAAAACUCUGGGCUCAACCCAGAGACGCCACCCAAUACUGCCGAGCUGGAGUCCGGUAGGGGCAGAGGGAAUUUCCGGUGGAGCGGUGAAAUGCGUAGAGAUCGGAAAGAACACCAACGGCGAAAGCACUCUGCUGGGCCGACACUGACACUGAGAGACGAAAGCUAGGGGAGCGAAUGGG